GUCUUUGAGGUUUAGCGGUUAUUCUCUCGUUUGCCUGAGAUCGUGGCAUCAUUGGAAUUAACGGCAGGUGGGGGUUCGAUUCCCUCCGAAGACG